rnacentral:rRNA from 1 species
GACGAACGCUGGCGGCGUGCCUAAUACAUGCAAGUAGGACGCAGUUGCGAACGGGUGAGUAACGCGUAGGUAACUACCUAUUAGAGGGGGAUAACUAUUGGAAACGAUAGCUAAUACCGCAUACUAGUAGAUGGACCUGCGUUGUAUUAGCUAGUAGGUAGGGUAAUGGCCUACCUAGGCAACGAUACAUAGCCGACCUGGGAAGUGGAGCGGCCAACCUGGGAAUGGGACACGGCCCAAACGCCUACGGGAGGGAGCAGUAGGGAAUGUUCGGCAAGUGGGGGAAACCUGACCGAGCAAAGCCGGGGGGGUGGAGAAGGUUUUCGGAUCGGAAAGCUCUGUUGUUAAGGAAGCGGUACUUAACCAGAAAGGGACGGCUAACUACGUGCCAGCAGCCGCGGUAAUUC